CACAUUCCAAGGCACACCCAGGAGAAUUAAUAAUAUAGAAGAUCAUGGAUUGCAAAAAGCUUAGCCCUAAGUGCCUUCUGGAUGUGUGGUAAGAUAUUUGGACUGGCCAGGCUUUUAGCGAUAUAUGAAUAUUCUAAUCUUUUAUAUACUAACAAGAAGUCAACGGGAAAGCAUGGAUUUCAGUGACCAAAGUGCUCGUGUGCAUAUAAGGAAUCCCUAAACUGGGCAUUUCAAGCCUGAACAGUGGAACUUACUCCCAGCAUUUUUCAGCAUACUAAGCAAAUGACCCCACUGCAUGCAGUACAAGCUUGCAGACUUACAAAAAGAAACACUGCUAUCCAGCAUCAUUUGUCAAUUCGAAGAGGGAGAUGUGGUGACCUUAUGGGGAUGCUUUCGAAUGCUUAAGAUGAUGGGUAGGCCUGUGGCAUUAGCAGAAUAUUCACAACAAAGCAGUCCUGUGUUCAGCACUUUUGGAAUAUCGGUUGGGAGUAUGCAGGAGUAGAGCGAUCCCCACUGCAAGUCAUCCAGGAUUUAGUCUUCAUGGAGACUGACAUACAGAGGCAGAGACAGACAGAGGCAAGAAGUCUGCAAGAGUAGGCACAUGGUCCAUAAGGUCCAGAGAGCUUAUUGACACCUUCAGGAAAAGGAACUGUGGGGCACAAACUAUGGUGGCAUUUUCAACAAACCAAGAACAACAAAGCUCUAAAUUUUCCAUAUUCAUA